AUUGAACGCUGGCGGCAGGCUUAACACAUGCAAGUCGAGCGAGCGGCGGACGGGUGAGUAAUGUCUGGGAAACUGCCUGAUGGAGGGGGAUAACUACUGGAAACGGUAGCUAAUACCGCAUACCAUAAGCAGUGCACAGAUGGGAUUAGCUAGUAGGUGGGGUAAUGGCUCACCUAGGCGACGAUGCCUAGCUGGUCUGAGAGGAUGAACUGCCACACUUGAACUGAGACACUGUCCAGACGCCUACGCGAGGCAUCAGUGGGAAAUAUUGCACAAUUGGCGCAAGCCUUAUUCAGCCAUGCCGGGUGUGUGAAGAAGGCCUUCGGGUUGCAAAGCACUUUCAGCGAGGAGGCGUUACUCGCAGAAGAAGCACCGGCUAACUCCGUGCCAGCAGCCGCGGUAAUUC
rnacentral:rRNA from 1 species